rnacentral:rRNA from 1 species
GACGAACGCUGGCGGCGUGCCUAAUACAUGCAAGUUGAGCGCUGAAGGUUGGUUCUUGUACCAACUGGAUGAGCAGCGAACGGGCGAGUAACGCGUGGGGAAUCUGCCUUUGAGCGGGGGACAACAUUUGGAAACGAAUGCUAAUACCGCAUAAAAACUUUAAACACAAGUUUUAAGUUUGAAAGAUGCAAUUGCAUCACUCAAAGAUGAUCCCGCGUUGUAUUAGCUAGUUGGUGAGGUAAAGGCUCACCAAGGCGAGGAUACAUAGCCGACCUGAGAGGGUGAUCGGCCACAUUGGGACUGAGACACGCCCCAAACUCCUACGGGAGGCAGCAGUAGGGAAUCUUCGGCAAGGGACGAAAGUCUGACCGAGCAACGCCGCGUGAGUGAAGAAGGUUUUCGGAUCGUAAAACUCUGUUGGUAGGGAAGAACGUUGGUGAGAGUGGAAAGCUCAGCAAGUGACGGUAACUACCCAGAAAGGGACGGCUAACUACGUG